AUGAAAAAAUUCAAUACAGUUCAAAGCACAUUAUGAUGAGAUAAGUCAUCAUUGGCCACACAUUGUCUUCCAGUGAUUCUUAUUUCUUCUUCUUCAUCUUUUUGGUCUUUUUCUUUUUC
rnacentral:ribozyme from 15 species